CGCGUAAGCGGUUUGGUCAGUCGGAUGUGAAAGCCCCGGGCUUAACCUGGGAACUGCAUUCGAUACUGCCAGGCUAGAGUGUAGUAGAGGGAAGUGGAAUUCCGGGUGUAGCGGUGAAAUGCGUAGAUAUCCGGAGGAACAUCAGUGGCGAAGGCGACUUCCUGGACUAACACUGACGCUGAGGUGCGAAAGCGUGGGGAGCAAACA
rnacentral:rRNA from 1 species